UGUACUGUGACAAAUGUACAAACCCACCCCCUCUGCCAGAACCGGAAGAAGGUGAAGGUGAAAGUCAGCAGCUACAUUUUGUGUCGAGGGGAAAAUAAACCAUUUCAGGGGUAAAAACACAACCACAAAAGACGAAAUCAAACAUCAGCAGAAAUCAGCUGGACUCCAUAUUCAAGGAGCUGGAACACAAAGUCAUCACUCUGAUAAAGAAUGAGCUGAAGAGCUUUAGGAAGCUCCUGAGUCCAGAUUACCCAGCAUGCACUGAGAGGGAGGUGGAGGAUGAGGAGGAUCUGCACUGUGUCAAAGAAGGACCGCUGAAGAUCACACUGCACGUCCUGAAGAACAUGAACCACACAGAUCUCGCUAACACACUGCACAACAGUGAGAGCUCUGAGUCAUGGCUUUAUUCCAUCAGGUUCACUUUAGA